AACGAACGCUGGCGGCAUGCCUGACACAUGCAAGUCGAACGAGAUCUUCGGGUCUAGUGGCGCACGGGUGCGUAACGCGUGGGAAUCUGCCCUUUGGUUCGGAAUAACAGUUGGAAACGACUGCUAAUACCGGAUGCUGACGAAAGUCCAAAGAUUUAUCGCCAGAGGAUGAGCCCGCGUAGGAUUAGCUAGUUGGUGUGGUAAAGGCGCACCAAGGCGACGAUCCUUGCUGGUCUGAGAGGAUGAGCAGCCACACUGGGACUGAGACACGGCCCAGACUCCUACGGGAGGCAGCAGUGGGUAAUAUUGGACAAUGGGCGAAAGGCUGAUCCAGCAAUGCCGCGUGAGUGAUGAAGGCCUUAGGGUUGUAAAGCUCUUUUACCCGGGAUGAUAAUGACAGUACCGGGAGAAUAAGCACCGGCUAACUCCGUGCCAGCCGCCGCCGUAA
rnacentral:rRNA from 1 species